rnacentral:rRNA from 1 species
UGCAUAUCAAUAAGCGGAGGAAAAGAAACCAACAGGGAUUGCCUCAGUAGCGGCGAGUGAAGCGGCAAGAGCUCAGAUUUGAAAUCGUGCUUUGCGGCACGAGUUGUAGAUUGCAGGUUGGAGUCUGUGUGGAAGGCGGUGUCCAAGUCCCUUGGAACAGGGCGCCCAGGAGGGUGAGAGCCCCGUGGGAUGCCGGCGGAAGCAGUGAGGCCCUUCUGACGAGUCGAGUUGUUUGGGAAUGCAGCUCCAAGCGGGUGGUAAAUUCCAUCUAAGGCUAAAUACUGGCGAGAGACCGAUAGCGAACAAGUACUGUGAAGGAAAGAUGAAAAGCACUUUGAAAAGAGAGUGAAACAGCACGUGAAAUUGUUGAAAGGGAAGGGUAUUGCGCCCGACAUGGGGAUUGCGCACCGCUGCCUCUCGUGGGCGGCGCUCUGGGCUUUCCCUGGGCCAGCAUCGGUUCUUGCUGCAGGAGAAGGGGUUCUGGAACGUGGCUCUUCGGAGUGUUAUAGCCAGGGCCAGAUGCUGCGUGCGGGGACCGAGGACUGCGGCCGUGUAGGUCACGGAUGCUGC